GCGUGAGUGUUCUUUGACCAGGUACCUCAGAGGUUUUACAUACAACUAGAACACUUGUGUGCAAUAGACAACGUUAAAUGUCCACAUCUACAUAAAAUGUCUCUCAUAAAGAACUCUAUACUAGAACCUUCAAUUAAAACGUGACAAAGUUCAGCCUGAUUAAAGCCAGGUUAGUUGUACUGUCAUUGGUAAGAUCUUUUUUUCUAGCUGUCUUUUUCUAUUUGACAUUCAGUCCACGAGGUGAACAAGGACGAACAUAGAUGAACAAUGACGUUUCAAAAUAUUAACACUCUUCUUCUUGUGUUGGCUGGAAUCUCAGUAACUGGACUUAUUUUUUGGGGCUACACCUCAACCUCAUUCAAUUUCAGAUUUAAAGAGAAACGAUUCUGCCUCAA